CCGCUCCCGCCCGUCCGUCCGAGGUCCUGCCCGCGGGGGCAGCGCAACGCACCCACCCGGCAAAACUUUCCGCAAGUCCAGCGGCACUGUUAGGCACUGAGAUACAGUCUCUCGAUCCUUUGCACCAGCUGCCUGUGACUUGCCUUGACCAAUGCAGAGACAGUGACGUGGUGUGAGUUCCCGUGGUUGGGCCUUCAGCAGCCUUGCAACAGCCACCUUGCUCUCCUAGAACCCUGAGCCCACUGGCUGGCAGGAGCCCAGUCAGCCUUCGGGAAGAUGAAAGGCCAUGUAGAGGAGGACCGAAGGGCCUUGCCAACAGCCAGGCCUACUGCCAGUAUGUGCGGGAAGUCAUCAUCUUGGACCCCCUAGUUCUAUUGAACUAACAUGACCACAGCCAUAGUGUUAACUGCAGAACCUCGUCCUGCCCUGUUCCUAACAAGACAUGGAAUCAACGUUUCAGCCUUCAAUACACCACUCACAAGCAACACUUGUGAACACCACUCACAGGUAACACUUGUAAACCCUUAACUGCUACCUCUUGAACCCCCACCCUGAGUCCUGGAACAGGAGCGACAUCUGAGUCUUGCCUCCCAUCUCAACUCCCAAAUAAAGCUCUUUUUUUUUUCUC